GAUGAACGCUGGCGGCGUGCUUAACACAUGCAAGUCGAACGGAAAGGCACUGCUUUUGUGGGGUGCUCGAGUGGGGAACGGGUGAGUAACACGUGAGUAACCUGCCCUUGUCUUUGGGAUAACAUCAGGAAACUGGGGCUAAUACAGGAUAGGAGAUCCUGCACCGUGGUGGGGGUUGGAAAGUUUCGGCGGUGGGGGAUGGACUAGCGGGUUACGAGCUUGUUGGUGGGGUAGGGGCUGCCCAAGGCUUUGACGGGUAGGCGGCCUGGGAGGGUGACCGGCCACAUUGGGACUGCGGUACGGCCCAGUCUCCUACGUGAGGCAGCGGUGGGGAACCUUGCACAACGGGCCCGAGUCUGAUGCGGCAGCGCCGCGUGCGUGAUGACGUCCUUUUGGUUGUAAACCGCUUUCGCCUGUGACGAAGCGUGAGUGACGGUACUGGGUAAAGAAGCACCGGCUAACUACGUG
rnacentral:rRNA from 1 species